rnacentral:rRNA from 1 species
AUUGAACGCUGGCGGCAUGCUUUACACAUGCAAGUCGAACGGUAACAGGUUAAGCUGACGAGUGGCGAACGGGUGAGUAAUGCAUCGGAACGUGCCCGGUCGUGGGGGAUAACGCAGCGAAAGCUGCGCUAAUACCGCAUACGAUCUGAGGAUGAAAGCGGGGGACCGUAAGGCCUCGCGCGAUCGGAGCGGCCGAUGUCAGAUUAGGUAGUUGGUGGGGUAAAGGCUCACCAAGCCGACGAUCUGUAGCUGGUCUGAGAGGACGACCAGCCACACUGGGACUGAGACACGGCCCAGACUCCUACGGGAGUCAGCAGUGGGGAAUUUUGGACAAUGGGCGCAAGCCUGAUCCAGCAAUGCCGCGUGCAGGAAGAAGGCCUUCGGGUUGUAAACUGCUUUUGUACGGAGCGAAAAGGCUCUCUCUAAUACGGAGGGCUCAUGACGGUACCGUAAGAAUAAGGACCGGCUAACUACGUGCCAGCCGCCGCGGUAA